ensembl:lncRNA
CGAAGAUCUCAACAUACACAAGUCUGCAAUUAAAGUUGGUGUAUCCCGGGGCGUGGAUAUGCACUGUGGAUAUCUGUGGCUGAUUGCUGAAUGUGAAUCACCUGCUGCCAAUCAACUCAUCUGCCUCUAGUAUUUAAACUCUGGGUCUUCAGUCAUUUUCUGCCAGAUCGUUCAGUCUGCUUAUGUGACCUCAUUCCACCUGCAUUCAUCCUGCAUUCUGCCUGCUACGCCCGUUCAACAAACUGUUCUUUCUGCUCUACCAACAUAUCUCUGGCCUGUUUGGUUUCCAGUGCACCUCAUCUAACAAUCUUCAACAGCAAAGGAGAGAUGGAUUGUGUUGCUUGACUUUUGGGAAUAAAUUAACUUUAUUUGCAUCAUUUUUAGUCGGUGUUCUGCU